CAGCAGCCGCGGUAAUACGUAGGGUGCAAGCGUUAAUCGGAAUUACUGGGCGUAAAGCGUGCGCAGGCGGUUCUAUAAGACAGAUGUGAAAUCCCCGGGCUCAACCUAGGAACUGCAUUUGUGACUGUAGAGCUCGAGUACGGUAGAGGGGGAUGGAAUUCCGAGUGUAGAGGUGAAAUUCGUAGAUAUUCGGAAGAACACCAGUGGCGAAGGCGACACACUGGCUCAUUACUGACGCUGAGGCGCGAAAGCGUGGGGAGCAAACAGGAUUAGAUACCCCCGUAGUCCCUGUCUCUUAUAA
rnacentral:rRNA from 1 species